rnacentral:rRNA from 1 species
CAUGCAAGUCGAGCGGUAACAGAUCCAGCUUGCUGGAUGCUGACGAGCGGCGGACGGGUGAGUAAUGCAUAGGAAUCUGCCCGAUAGUGGGGGAUAACCUGGGGAAACCCAGGCUAAUACCGCAUACGUCCUACGGGAGAAAGGGGGCUCCGGCUCCCGCUAUGGGAUGAGCCUAUGUCGGAUUAGCUGGUUGGUGAGGUAACGGCUCACCAAGGCCACGAUCCGUAGCUGGUCUGAGAGGAUGAUCAGCCACAUCGGGACUGAGACACGGCCCGAACUCCUACGGGAGGCAGCAGUGGGGAAUAUUGGACAAUGGGGGAAACCCUGAUCCAGCCAUGCCGCGUGUGUGAAGAAGGCCCUCGGGUUGUAAAGCACUUUCAGCGAGGAAGAACGCCUAGCGGUUAAUACCCGCUAGGAAAGACAUCACUCGCAGAAGAAGCACCGGCUAACUCCGUGCCAGCAGCCGCGGUAAUACGGAGGGUGCAAGCGUUAAUCGGAAUUACUGGGCGUAAAGCGCGCGUAGGUGGCUUGAUAAGCCGGUUGUGAAAGCCCCGGGCUCAACCUGGGAACGGCAUCCGGAACUGUCAAGCUAGAGUGCAGGAGAGGAAGGUAGAAUUCCCGGUGUAGCGGUGAAAUGCGUAGAGAUCGGGAGGAAUACCAGUGGCGAAGGCGGCCUUCUGGACUGACACUGACACUGAGGUGCGAAAGCGUGGGUAGCAAACAGGAUUAGAUACCCUGGUAGUCCACGCCGUAAACGAUGUCGACCAGCCGUUGGGUGCCUAGCGCACUUUGUGGCGAAGUUAACGCGAUAAGUCGACCGCCUGGGGAGUACGGCCGCAAGGUUAAAACUCAAAUGAAUUGACGGGGGCCCGCACAAGCGGUGGAGCAUGUGGUUUAAUUCGAUGCAACGCGAAGAACCUUACCUACUCUUGACAUCCUGCGAAUUUGGUAGAGAUACCUUAGUGCCUUCGGGAACGC